AUUGAACGCUGGCGGCAGGCCUAACACAUGCAAGUCGAACGGUAACAGGAAGAAGCUUGCUUCUUUGCUGACGAGUGGCGGACGGGUGAGUAAUGUCUGGGAAACUGCCUGAUGGAGGGGGAUAACUACUGGAAACGGUAGCUAAUACCGCAUAACGUCGCAAGACCAAAGAGGGGGACCUUCGGGCCUCUUGCCAUCGGAUGUGCCCAGAUGGGAUUAGCUAGUAGGUGGGGUAACGGCUCACCUAGGCGACGAUCCCUAGCUGGUGUGAGAGGAUGACACGCCACCCGGGAACCGAGCAACGGCACAGACCCCAAGGGGAGGCAGGAGGGGGGAAAUUUGCAAAAGGGGCGCAGGCUUGAGGGAGCAACGCCGCGUGAAUGAAGAAGCCCUUCGGUUUUUAAAUUUCUUUCAGCGGGGAGGAAGGAAUAAAUAAGAAACCCUUCACACAUUGACGUGCCCCAAAAAGAAAGCCCCGGCUAACCCCGUG
rnacentral:rRNA from 1 species